AUGACGACUCGAUCGGAGGAUGACGACUGCCUGAUCCUCGGGAGCGAUGGCUUGUGGGAUGUCAUCGAGAACCAUAUUGCCUGCAAUGCCGUGCGGAACUGCCUAGAAUUAGAAAACAAGAACAACCAAGGUGUUCCUAGAGGGGGUGCACUGAUAGGACAAGAGGAAGAGGUUGGCUGCAACAAUGCUGCAACCCUCCUAAAGAACAUGGCAAUCUGCAAGCAUAGCCAGGAUGACAUUAGUGUUGUCGUACUUGAUCUGAAGGCAAGAGGUUAG
rnacentral:rRNA from 1 species